GUCGAGGGGCAGCAUGGGGGAGUAGCAAUACUCUCUGAUGGCGACCGGCGCAAGGGUGCGUAACGCGUGAGCAACUUGCCCUCAUCAGGGGAAUAAUCGCUGGAAACGGCGUUUAAUGCCCCAUGGCGAUGGAAUCAGGCAUCUGGUUCCAUCUAAAGAUCCGUCGGAUGAGGAUAGGCUCGCGUGACAUUAGCUUGACGGCGGGGUAGCGGCCCACCGUGGCGACGAUGUCUAGGGGUUCUGAGAGGAAGGUCCCCCACACUGGAACUGAGACACGGUCCAGACUCCUACGGGAGGCAGCAGUGAGGAAUAUUGGUCAAUGGCCGGAAGGCUGAACCAGCCAUGCCGCGUGAAGGUCAGUGCCCUAUGGGCGUUAAACUUCUUUUGUGCGGGAGCAAUAAGGUCCACGUGUGGACCGACGAGAGUACCGUACGAAUAAGCAUCGGCUAACUCCGUGCCAGCAGCCGCGGUAAUACGGGGGAUGCAAGCGUUAUCCGGAUUUAUUGGGUUUAAAGGGUGCGUAGGCUGUGAGGUAAGUCAGCGGUGAAAUGCCCCCGCUCAACGGGGUGAAGUGCCAUUGAUACUGCCUUGCUGGAAUGCGGAUGCCGUGGGAGGAAUGUGUGGUGUAGCGGUGAAAUGCAUAGAUAUCACACAGAACACCGAUUGCGAAGGCAUCUCACGAAUCCGCUAUUGACGCUGAUGCACGAAAGCGUGGGUAUCAAACAGGAUUAGAUACCCUGGUAGUCCACGCUGUAAACGAUGAUG
rnacentral:rRNA from 1 species